UUCGACCUGAACUCAGACGUGAAC
rnacentral:rRNA from 5 species